ACUGCUUCUUGGUCUUUUGGCUAAAGUUGGGUGUAGUAUCUGUUCUAGGAUUUCUGGAGCAGGGAGAUGGAACAGAAGCUUGCUUGGACCACUCCAUGUAUUGACCGGGUACUGCACUAACUCUAAGAACCGCGCACCAAGA
ensembl:snRNA RNU2-27P RNA, U2 small nuclear 27, pseudogene